CCUUGACAUACUAAGAACUUUCCAGAGAUGGAUUGGUGCCUUCGGGGAACUUAGAUACAGGUGCUGCAUGGCUGUCGUCAGCUCGUGUCGUGAGAUGUUGGGUUAAGUCCCGNAACGAGCGCAACCCUUUUCCUAUUUGCCAGCGGGUCAUGCCGGGAACUUUAAGGAUACUGCCAGUGACAAACUGGAGGAAGGCGGGGACGACGUCAAGUCAUCAUGGCCCUUACGGCCAGGGCUACACACGUGCUACAAUGGUCGGUACAAAGGGUUGCUACCUCGCGAGAGGAUGCUAAUCUCAAAAAGCCGAUCGUAGUCCGGAUCGCAGUCUGCAACUCGACUGCGUGAAGUCGGAAUCGCUAGUAAUCGCGGAUCAGAAUGCCGCGGUGAAUACGUUCCCGGGCCUUGUACACACCGCCCGUCACACCAUGGGAGUUUGUUGCACCAGAAGUAGGUAGUCUAACCGCAAGGAGGACGCUUACCACGGUGUGGCCGAUGACUGGGGUGAAGUCGUAACAAGGUAAGCGUAGAUGA
rnacentral:rRNA from 1 species